rfam:Ornithorhynchus anatinus chromosome 3, whole genome shotgun sequence.
AGCAGUGUGGCUCAGUGGAAAGAGCACGGGCUUGGGAGUCAGAGGUCAUGGGUUCGAAUCCCAGCUCUGCCA